UACAGAGGUCUCAAGCGUUGUUCGGAUUCAUUGGGCGUAAAGGGUGCGUAGGUGGCGCCGUAAGUCAGGUGUGAAAUUUCGGAGCUCAACUCCGAAACUGCAUUUGAUACUGCGGUGCUUGAGGACUGGAGAGGAGACUGGAAUUCACGGUGUAGCAGUGAAAUGCGUAGAUAUCGUAAGGAAGACCAGUGGCGAAGGCGAGUCUCUGGACAGUUACUGACACUGAGGCACGAAGGCCAGGGGAGCAAACGGG
rnacentral:rRNA from 1 species